GGCAGGGUGGCGGAGUGGUCAAACGCACCUGGCUGUAAACUAGGCGCCCGUCGGGCUUCGGGGGUUCGAAUCCCUCCCCUGCCACCA
rnacentral:tRNA from 1 species